rnacentral:rRNA from 1 species
CUUUUGAUAAAAAUUUAAGGUCUAGCCUGCCCAAUGAUAUAUUAUUAAAUGGCCGCGGUAUUUUGACCGUGCAAAGGUAGCAUAAUCAAUAGUUUUUUAAUUGAAAGCUGGAAUGAAAGGUUGAAUGAGAAAGUUACUGUCUCUGUUUAAAUUUUAUAGAAAUUUAUUUUUAAGUUAAAAAGCUUAAAUUUAUUUAGAAGACGAGAAGACCCUAUAGAGUUUUAUUUAUAAUUAAAUUAUAAAAUUUAGAAUUAAUAUUUUUUGAUUUGGAAGUAAAUUUAAUUGGGGUGAUUUAAAAAUUUAAGUAACUUUUUAAUGUAUUUAAACAUUAAUUUAUGAAUAUUUGAUCCUUAUAUUAAGAUUAUAAGAUAAAUUACCUUAGGGAUAACAGCGUAAUUUUUUUAAAGAGUUCUUAUCGAAAGAAAAGAUUGCGACCUCGAUGUUGGAUUAAAAUAAAUAUUUGGUGUAGAAGCUAAA